UACAGAUUUCACAGUCCUCGACCACGGCGUUUACGUUACGUGUUCUGCGGUUUUCCGUCUCCUGCUGGCCUAACAGUUCGUGCGUUUCACGGCCGUCCUCGUCCACGUUACGUGCUCUGCGGUUUUCCGUUUCCUGCUGGCCUCGCAUUUUGUGCGUUUCACGGACGGCGUAAAAGAAGUUCAUUGAUUUCACAGCAGUCGAUUCGCUGACCGGUCUGGGUGGUCCUCAUCCACGGCGUCCACGUUACGUGCUCUACGGUUUGCCGUCUCCUGCUGGCCUAACAGUUCGUGCGUUUCACGGCCGUCCUCGUCCACGUUACGUGCUCUGCGGUUUUCCGUCUCCUGCUGGCCUCGCAUUUUGUGCGUUUCACGGACGGCGUAAAAGAAGUUCAUUGAUUUCACAGCAGUCGAUUCGCUGACCGGUCUGGGUGGUCCUCAUCCACGGCGUCCACGUUACGUGCUCUGCGGUUUGCCGUCUCCUGCUGGCCUAACAGUUCGUGCGUUUCACGGCCGUCCUCGUCCACGUUACGUGCUCUGCGGUUUUCCGUCUCCUGCUGGCCUCGCAUUUUGUGCGUUUCACGGACGGCGUAAAAGAAGUUCAUUGAUUUCACAGCAGUCGAUUCGCUGACCGGUCUGGGUGGUCCUCAUCCACGGCGUCCACGUUACGUGCUCUACGGUUUGCCGUCUCCUGCUGGCCUAACAGUUCGUGCGUUUCACGGCCGUCCUCGUCCACGUUACGUGCUCUGCGGUUUUCCGUCUCCUGCUGGCCUCGCAUUUUGUGCGUUUCACGGACGGCGUAAAAGAAGUUCAUUGAUUUCACAGCAGUCGAUUCGCUGACCGGUCUGGGUGGUCCUCAUCCACGGCGUCCACGUUACGUGCUCUACGGUUUGCCGUCUCCUGCUGGCCUAACAGUUCGUGCGUUUCACGGCCGUCCUCGUCCACGUUACGUGCUCUGCGGUUUUCCGUCUCCUGCUGGCCUCGCAUUUUGUGCGUUUCACGGACGGCGUAAAAGAAGUUCAUUGAUUUCACAGCAGUCGAUUCGCUGACCGGUCUGGGUGGUCCUCAUCCACGGCGUCCACGUUACGUGCUCUGCGGUUUGCCGUCUCCUGCUGGCCUAACAGUUCGUGCGUUUCACGGCCGUCCUCGUCCACGUUACGUGCUCUGCGGUUUUCCGUCUCCUGCUGGCCUCGCAUUUUGUGCGUUUCACGGACGGCGUAAAAGAAGUUCAUUGAUUUCACAGCAGUCGAUUCGCUGACCGGUCUGGGUGGUCCUCAUCCACGGCGUCCACGUUACGUGCUCUACGGUUUGCCGUCUCCUGCUGGCCUAACAGUUCGUGCGUUUCACGGCCGUCCUCGUCCACGUUACGUGCUCUGCGGUUUUCCGUCUCCUGCUGGCCUCGCAUUUUGUGCGUUUCACGGACGGCGUAAAAGAAGUUCAUUGAUUUCACAGCAGUCGAUUCGCUGACCGGUCUGGGUGGUCCUCAUCCACGGCGUCCACGUUACGUGCUCUACGGUUUGCCGUCUCCUGCUGGCCUAACAGUUCGUGCGUUUCACGGCCGUCCUCGUCCACGUUACGUGCUCUGCGGUUUUCCGUCUCCUGCUGGCCUCGCAUUUUGUGCGUUUCACGGACGGCGUAAAAGAAGUUCAUUGAUUUCACAGCAGUCGAUUCGCUGACCGGUCUGGGUGGUCCUCAUCCACGGCGUCCACGUUACGUGCUCUACGGUUUGCCGUCUCCUGCUGGCCUAACAGUUCGUGCGUUUCACGGCCGUCCUCGUCCACGUUACGUGCUCUGCGGUUUUCCGUCUCCUGCUGGCCUCGCAUUUUGUGCGUUUCACGGACGGCGUAAAAGAAGU